ACUUCUAAGUGUAAACUCUGCUUGUUAUUUUUAAGAGUUUGGGGGACAAGAGACACAUGUCUUAUCUAUGCUUCAGCACUAUAUUAUAAUGCUGGUAACGUUAGUUAGUGCGAUGGACGCAGUUGGGCUUUCCAUGAACAUGUAUCCACGUGUAGCUUUGUCAUAAUUGUCGUUAAGGAUAUUAGUUGUCUAUGGGUUGAAUCCUGUGGAUACUAUCAGAUAUGAGUAGCAUAUAUCUAAUUUCUUCUAAUUUUUUUUUCUCAACGUGAUCAUGUUUUGUCACAAAAUUAACCUCGUCUCUAGAAUCAUCUGAAUGUCAAUUGCCAGCUGUGAUAUUUUGGGUUAUCUAAUUCUCCUUUAUUAAUAUAUUAAAGUGCAUCUGAAGUUUAUGAAUUUUCAGCUUACAAUACAGACAAUUACCAGAACUGUCUAGUUGGUCAUAGUUAGACGUAUGUAAUCACUAUCGAAUGAUCUUUGUACUUUCUUCUCUUUCUUUUCCCCUCUCUUCUCCCCUCCUCUCUCAGUUACUCUCUUGAACCAGAUCAUCUCUACAAAAUUUUAGUACAGGGAAAUUAUGACAGAAGAGAACAGGCUCAUCACAGUCACACCAGAAGCUAAAGUUCUGAAAGUGACACAACUGAUAACAGAGUGUCAGUCCACAUUUGUCUCUGGGUGGGGAAGUGUUCUGGGCUGGAGCAUAGAAAAUCUGGCAUUGGUUAUGCUGCUUGCUGCAACACAGAUAAACUGGUAUUCUACCUAUUACUAGAUGUUAGAACAUUUUGUCAUCCAAUCAUUUUUUAUCUGGAUUUGAGAUAUUAUAAUAUUGUUCAAAAGAUGAAUGGUUUGUUUGGGACUGAGGUGUAGUUAGUAUUGUUUUUGUGUUGGUAAUACAUGGUAGCAACUUAAAUUUCAUUGCUGUUAGACAGUUAGUUCUUUC